CGGCAGGGUGGAGCCUGAUGAGUGUUGUGUGAGGUCGGCUGGGUUCCUGUUUGUGCAUUUAUGGCAGUCCAUCUGUGUUAAUGCGUUAGGGCAAGAAGCAGUUUGUGUGUGUAUGUGUGUGGAUAUAAAAAGGGCAUGAAGUUCUUCAUCUGAAAUGGCCAUCACUUGACACCACGAUGUAGCGGUUAACACAAUGAUGUUCCCAUUUCAAGAUUGGGAAGAAAUACAAACCCAGCCUCAGGGAGUCACAAGCUACUGUACUCCAGUGCUGGUCCCAAACCUGGAUAAAUGGCAGAGUUGCAUCAGGAAGGGCAUCCCUCAUCAAGUCUCUGCCAAUCAAAC
ensembl:lncRNA